rnacentral:rRNA from 1 species
UACGUAGGGUCCGAGCGUUGUCCGGAAUUACUGGGCGUAAAGAGCUUGUAGGCGGUUCGUCGCGUCGUUUGUGAAAACUUGGGGCUCAACCUUAAGCUUGCAGGCGAUACGGGCGGACUAGAGUACUUCAGGGGAGACUGGAAUUCCUGGUGUAGCGGUGAAAUGCGCAGAUAUCAGGAAGAACACCAAUGGCGAAGGCAGCUCUCUGGGACGGUACUGACACUGAGACGCGAAAGCGUGGGGAGCGAACAGG